GUAGUCCACGCCCUAAACGAUGCGAACUGGAUGUUGGGUGCAAUUUGGCACGCAGUAUCGAAGCUAACGCGUUAAGUUCGCCGCCUGGGGAGUACGGUCGCAAGACUGAAACUCAAAGGAAUUGACGGGGGCCCGCACAAGCGGUGGAGUAUGUGGUUUAAUUCGAUGCAACGCGAAGAACCUUACCUGGCCUUGACAUGUCGAGAACUUUCCAGAGAUGGAUUCGUGCUCGAAAGAGAACCUGCACACAGGUGCUGCAUGGCUGUCGUCAGCUCGUGUCGUGAGAUGUUGGGUUAAGUCCCGCAACGAGCGCAACCCUUGUCCUUAGUUGCCAGCACGUAAUGGUGGGA
rnacentral:rRNA from 1 species